rnacentral:rRNA from 1 species
CAGUAGCCGCGGUAAUACGAAGGGGGCUAGCGUUGCUCGGAAUGACUGGGCGUAAAGGGCGCGUAGGCGGCGAUCAAAGUCAGGCGUGAAAUUCCUGGGCUCAACCUGGGGGCUGCGCUUGAUACUUGGUUGCUUGAGUGGGGAAGAGGGUCGUGGAAUUCCCAGUGUAGAGGUGAAAUUCGUAGAUAUUGGGAAGAACACCAGUGGCGAAGGCGGCAACCUGGUCCUUGACUGACGCUGAGGCGCGAAAGCGUGGGGAGCAAACAGGAUUAGAUACCCCCGUAGUCCCUGUCUCUUAUAC